rnacentral:rRNA from 1 species
UACGUAGGGUGCAAGCGUUGUCCGGAAUUAUUGGGCGUAAAGAGCUCGUAGGCGGUUUGUCGCGUCUGCUGUGAAAUCUGGGGGCUCAACCCCCAGCCUGCAGUGGGUACGGGCAGACUAGAGUGCGGUAGGGGAGAUUGGAAUUCCUGGUGUAGCGGUGGAAUGCGCAGGUAUCAGGAGGAACACCGAUGGCGAAGGCAGAUCUCUGGGCCGUAACUGACGCUGAGGAGCGAAAGCAUGGGGAGCGAACAGG